rnacentral:rRNA from 1 species
CAAAACGACUCUCGGCAACGGAUAUCUCGGCUCUCGCAUCGAUGAAGAACGUAGCGAAAUGCGAUACGUGGUGUGAAUUGCAGAAUCCCGUGAACCAUCGAGUUUUUGAACGCAAGUUACGCCCGAAGCCUUCUGGUUGAGGGCACGUCUGCCUGGG